rnacentral:rRNA from 1 species
AUUGAACGCUGGCGGCAUGCCUAACACAUGCAAGUCGAACGGUAACAGGCCUUCGGGCGCUGACGAGUGGCGGACGGGUGAGUAACGCGUGGGAAUCUGCCUAGUAGUGGGGGACAACCUGGGGAAACUCAGGCUAAUACCGCAUACGCCCUACGGGGGAAAGCAGGGGAUCUUCGGACCUUGCGCUAUUAGAUGAGCCUGCGUCGGAUUAGCUUGUUGGUGGGGUAAAGGCCUACCAAGGCGACGAUCCGUAGCUGGUUUGAGAGGACGAUCAGCCACACUGGGACUGAGACACGGCCCAGACUCCUACGGGAGGCAGCAGUGGGGAAUAUUGGACAAUGGGGGCAACCCUGAUCCAGCAAUGCCGCGUGUGUGAAGAAGGCCUGCGGUUGUAAAGCACUUUCGGAUGGGAAGAAAAGCUCAAGGCUAAUAUCCUUGAGUCUUGACGUUACUAUCAGAAGAAGCACCGGCUAACUCUGUG